rnacentral:tRNA from 1 species
GCAUCGGUGGUUCAGUGGGAGAAUUCUCACCUUCUAUGUGGGAGAUUUGGGUCUGAUUCCUGGCCAAUGCA